AUUGAACGCUGGCGGCAGGCCUAACACAUGCAAGUCGAGCGAGCGGCGGACGGGUGAGUAAUGUGUGGGAAACUGCCUGAUGGAGGGGGAUAACUACUGGAAACCGUAGUUAAUACCGCAUACUAUCAGAUGAGCCUAGGUCGGAUUAGCUAGUAGGUGGGGUAACGGCUCACCUAGGCGACGAUCCCUAGCUGGUCUGAUAGGAUGGCCAGCCACACUGGAACUGAGACACGGUCCAGACUCCUACGGGAGGCAGCAGUGGGGAAUAUUGCACAAUGGGCGCAAGCCUGAGGCAGCCAUGCCGCGUGUGUGAAGAAGGCCUUCGGGUUGUAAAGCACUUUCAGCGGGGAGGCGUUACCCGCAGAAGAAGCACCGGCUAACUCCGUGCCAGCAGCCGCGGUAAUAC
rnacentral:rRNA from 1 species